rnacentral:rRNA from 1 species
UACGUAGGGGGCAAGCGUUGUCCGGAUUUAUUGGGCGUAAAGAGCUCGUAGGCGGCUUGUCGCGUCGGAUGUGAAAGCCCGGGGCUUAACUCCGGGUCUGCAUUCGAUACGGGCAGGCUAGAGUUCGGUAGGGGAGAUCGGAAUUCCUGGUGUAGCGGUGGAAUGCGCAGAUAUCAGGAGGAACACCGGUGGCGAAGGCGGGUCUCUGGGCCGUUACUGACGCUGAGGAGCGAAAGCGUGGGGAGCGAACAGG